rnacentral:lncRNA from 1 species
GGGUGUCACUUAUGGGGCAGCGCGGUCACUUAUGGGUCUCUGGGCGUCACUUAUGGGGCUGUGGGUGUCACUUAUGGGUCUCGUGGCGUCACUUGUGGGGCAGGCUCGAAUUACUACGUGCGCAUCCUGAGCAUCACUUAUGGGGCAGCGCUGUCACUUAUGGGUCUCGGGGCGUCACUUAUGGGGCAGCGCGGUCACUUAUGGGUCUCUGGGCGUCACUUAUGGGGCAGUGCUGUCACUUAUGGGUCUCGUGGCGUCACUUGUGGGGCAGGCUUGAAUUACUACGUGCGCAUCCUGAGCANCCAGCCCCACGGCUGACCCCCGUAGCCGCCCCACAGAAGCUGCAGCAGGAGCUGGAGUUCCUGGAGGUGCAGGAGAACUGACCCCCCCCCAUAACCACCCCUAGCCCCAUAGCUGCCCCAUAGCUGCUCCAUAGCCACCCUCAGCCCCAUAGCCGCCCCAUAGCUGCCCCACAUCCACCUCCAGCCCCAUGGCUGACCCCCGUAGCCGCCCCACAGAAGCUGCAGCAGGAGCUGGAGUUCCUGGAGGUGCAGGAGAACUGACCCCCCCCCCAUAUCCACCCCUAGCCCACCCCAUAUCCACUCCCAGCCCCAUAGCUGCCCCGUAGUCGCCCCAUAGCUGACCCAUACCCGCUCCCCAGCCGCAUAGCCGCCCCAUAGCUGCCCCAUAGUCAGCCCCAGCCCCACGGCUGACCCACAGCAGCUGCAGGAGGAGCUGCAGGUGCAGGAGGACUGAUCCCCCCUAUAGCCACCCCCAGCCCCAUAGCCGCCCCAUAGGUGCCCCAUAGCCGCCCCACAACCACCCCCAGCCCCACGGCUGACCCCCACAGCCGCCCCACAGAAGCUGCAGCAGGAGCUGGAGUUCCUGGAGGUGCAGGAGAACUGACCCCCCCCAUAGCCACUUCUAGGCCACCCCAUAUCCACUCCCAGCCCCAUAGCCGCCCCAUAGCCUCCCCAUAGCCACCCCCAGCCCCACGGCUGACCCCCGUAGCCGCCCCACAGAAGCUGCAGCAGGAGCUGGAGUUCCUGGGAGUGCAGGAGGACACACCCCCCCCAUAACUACCCCCAACCUACCCCAUAGCCACCCCCAGCCCCAUGGCUGCCCCGUAGCUGCCUCAUAGCUGCCCCAUACCUGCUCCCCAGCCCCAUAGCUGCCCCAUAGCUGCCCCAUACCUGCUCCCCAGCCCCAUAGCUGCCCCAUAACCACCCCCAGCCCCACUGCUGAUCCACAGAAGCUGCAGCAGGAGCUGGAGUUCCUGGAGGUGCAGGAGGACACAUGCCCCCCUUAACAACCCCCAACCUGCCCCAGAGCCACCCCCAGCCCCAUAGCCGCCCCACAUCCACCCCCAGCCCCACGGCUGAC